CUACGGGUUGCACCAGUGGGGAAUAUUGGACAAUGGGGGAAACCCUGAUCCAGCAAUGCCGCGUGUGUGAAGACGGCCUUAGGGUUGUAAAACUCUUUCGCUAGGGAAGAUAAUGACUGUACCUAGUAAAGAAGUCCCGGCUAACUCCGUGCCAGCAGCCGCGGUAAUACGGAGGGGACUAGCGUUGUUCGGAAUUACUGGGCGUAAAGAGUUCGUAGGCGGACUGACAAGUUAGAGGUGAAAUCCCAGGGCUCAACCCUGGAACUGCCUUUAAAACUGUCAGUCUAGAGACCGGAAGAGGUUAGGGGAAUACCUAGUGUAGAGGUGAAAUUCGUAGAUAUUAGGUGGAACACCAGUGGCGAAGGCGCCUAACUGGUCCGGUACUGACGCUGAGGAACGAAAGCGUGGGGAGCAAACAGGAUUAGAUACCCCCGUAGUC
rnacentral:rRNA from 1 species